rnacentral:misc_RNA from 1 species
AACAAGGCGUACCUGCGGACCUGCGGAGGGAUCAUUACCGAGUUUACAACUCCCAAACCCCUGUGAACAUACCUAUACGUUGCCUCGGCGGAUCAGCCCGCGCCCUGUAAAAAGGGACGGCCCGCCCGAGGACCCUAAACUCUGUUUUUAGUGGAACUUCUGAGUAAAACAAACAAAUAAAUCAAAACUUUCAACAACGGAUCU